AAACAAUUUCAGCAACGGACUUUGAACGCAAGUUGCGCCCGAGGCUUGUCCAAGGGCAUUUCCGCUAGAGCGUCACC
rnacentral:rRNA from 1 species